AGAACGAGCGAGUGCAUUCAAAGAAACCAGAAGAAGCUGGUUAGAGCUGCAGUGUACUAGCUGUGGGAGGAAAGGUUUAAAGCACAAGAUAGAAAUUUCGUGUGCAUGGAGACUUUCUCAGCAGUUGAGCAGUUACCGUGAAUGAGAGAAGCUAAACUGGUCUAAGUGGUCUAAGCUACAUGUGUUUUGGUGUUUCGCACACAAGCAAAGUG